GUGGAGCAUGUGGCUUAAUUUGACUCAACGCGGGGAAUCUUACUAGGUCCGGACCGAUUCUAUGAUCGUCGUACUGUGGGGUGCUACGUGAUUACUGGAUGAGUGGUGCAUGGCCACGGUUCUCGUAUCUCACAGUACAGACCUGAUAACGAACGAGAUCGAGACCCGUGGUUGCGUGUGUUUGAAUUCGGUAUUACUACGGGGAUCGCGUAUUACUCCACGGUACGAUCGAAAGACUCGGCAAUAACAGGUCUGUGAUGCCCUCAGAUGUUCUAGGCUGCACACGUGCUACAGUGUGGUUCUGUUCAUAUGUGUAUGCGUAGACUUGAGAUCCCCCGCACCGAGUCAUAAUUGGUCACACGGUUGGACUCACCGAUUGUCAAUUAUUCGGUAUCUUAACUAGGAAUGCCUCGUACUGGGUCGGUUCAACGAGACCCCCUGGAAUCCGUCCCUGCCCUUUGUACACACCGCCCGUCGCUCUUACCGAUGGGCGUGGUUAUUAGCAUCGACGAAUCUCUCGCGAGGUGAAUCGACGCAUGUAACCACGCCUAAAGGAAAGAGAAGUCGUAACAAGGCAUCG
rnacentral:rRNA from 1 species